rnacentral:rRNA from 1 species
GAUGAACGCUGGCGGCGUGCCUAAUACAUGCAAGUCGAGCGAACAGACGAGGAGCUUGCUCCUCUGACGUUAGCGGCGGACGGGUGAGUAACACGUGGAUAACCUACCUAUAAGACUGGGAUAACUUCGGGAAACCGGAGCUAAUACCGGAUAAUAUAUUGAACCGCAUGGUUCAAUAGUGAAAGACGGUUCUGCUGUCACUUAUAGAUGGAUCCGCGCCGCAUUAGCUAGUUGGUAAGGUAACGGCUUACCAAGGCAACGAUGCGUAGCCGACCUGAGAGGGUGAUCGGCCACACUGGAACUGAGACACGGUCCAGACUCCUACGGGAGGCAGCAGUAGGGAAUCUUCCGCAAUGGGCGAAAGCCUGACGGAGCAACGCCGCGUGAGUGAUGAAGGUCUUCGGAUCGUAAAACUCUGUUAUUAGGGAAGAACAAAUGUGUAAGUAACUAUGCACGUCUUGACGGUACCUAAUCAGAAAGCCACGGCUAACUACGUG